UGGAAAGUUUGGCUUCGCACUGCUGUAACCAUGCCAACAAUGCAGAUAUGGUCUCCUUAUAUCGAGCUGGGGGACAAAAGCAAAUGCUACGUCUGUUUAAACUGCAUCGAGUCAUUGCUGUCGAGAAGAUUUCAAGAGGCCAAAAAGGAUUCCAGCCCUUCCUAUUGUUUCCUUGUGUCUCCAAAGCCAAUCCGACAAUAAGCCAAUACAAACCCAAUCGGGCAAUGAAUCACUGUAGCUGCCUCUCUCUGGCCCGCAGGUCCUCCAGCACCUGGUGGUAGUGUUCUUUGAAGGCAGUGAUGUCGGCAUCCAGAAAGGCAG